AUUGCCUUAGUAGCGGCGAGUGAAGCGGCAACAGCUCACAUUUGAAAUCUGAUUCUUGAUAGGAUCUGAGUUGUAAUCUACAGAGGGUGUUUCGGGUACAGUUUUGGUUUAAGUUCCUUGGAACAGGACGUCAUAGAGGGUGAGAACCCCGUCUGUAACCAGCAACCUAGCCUAUGUGAAACCCCUUCGACGAGUCGAGUUGUUUGGGAAUGCANCUCUAAAUGGGUGGUAAAUUUCAUCUAAAGCUAAAUAUUGGCCGGAGACCGAUAGCGCACAAGUAGAGUGAUCGAAAGAUGAAAAGCACUUUGGAAAGAGAGUUAAAUAGUACGUGAAAUUGUUGAAAGGGAAGCGCUUGCGGCCAGACCUGUGCGUAGGUGAUCAGUUGGUAAUUUUUUUUUUUAAAAAAAAAAAAAUAUCAAUGCACUCGCCUACAGCCAGGCCAGCAUCGGUUUCGGCGGCGGGACAAAAGCGUGGAGAAUGUAACUCUCUCUUGGGUGAGUACUUAUAGCUCGUCAUGAAAUGCCGCCAGCCGAGACCGAGGACCGCGCUUUGGCUAGGAUGCUGGCGUAAUGGUUGCAAGCGACCCGUCUUGAAACACGGACCAAGGAGUCUAACAUCUAUGCGAGUGUUUGGGUGUCAAACCCAGGCGCGAAAUGAAAGUGAACGGAGGUGGGAACCCUUAAAGGGGGUGCACCAUCGACCGAUCCUGAUGUCUUCGGAUGGAUUUGAGUAUGAGCAUAGCUGUUGGGACCCGAAAGAUGGUGAACUAUGCCUGAACAGGGUGAAGCCAGAGGAAACUCUGGUGGAAGCUCGCAGCGGUUCUGACGUGCAAAUCGAUCGUCAAAUUUGGGCAUAGGGGCGAAAGACUAAUCGAACCAU
rnacentral:rRNA from 1 species